GAUGAACGCUGGCGGCGUGCCUAAUACAUGCAAGUCGAGCGAACAGAUGAGGAGCUUGCUCCUCUGACGUUAGCGGCGGACGGGUGAGUAACACGUGGAUAACCUACCUAUAAGACUGGGAUAACUUCGGGAAACCGGAGCUAAUACCGGAUAAUAUAUUGAACCGCAUGGUUCAAUAGUGAAAGACGGUUUUGCUGUCACUUAUAGAUGGAUCCGCGCCGCAUUAGCUAGUUGGUAAGGUAACGGCUUACCAAGGCAACGAUGCGUAGCCGACCUGAGAGGGGGUCGGGCAAAAUUGAAACGAGGAAAGGGCCAAAAUCCCAAGGGAGGGCAGAAGUGGGAAAUUUCCGGAAAUGGCGAAAGCCUGACGGAGCAACGCCGCGUGAGUGAUGAAGGUCUUCGGAUCGUAAAACUCUGUUAUUAGGGAAGAACAAAUGUGUAAGUAACUAUGCACGUCUUGACGGUACCUAAUCAGAAAGCCACGGCUAACUACGUG
rnacentral:rRNA from 1 species